rnacentral:rRNA from 1 species
UGCUUCGGCGGGCCCGCCGUUUCGACGGCCGCCGGGGAGGCCUUGCGCCCCCGGGCCCGCGCCCGCCGAAGACCCCAACAUGAACGCUGUUCUGAAAGUAUGCAGUCUGAGUUGAUUAUCGUAAUCAGUUAAAACUUUCAACAACGGAUCUCUUGGUUCCGGCAUCGAUGAAGAACGCAGCGAAAUGCGAUAAGUAAUGUGAAUUGCAGAAUUCAGUGAAUCAUCGAGUCUUUGAACGCACAUUGCGCCCCCUGGUAUUCCGGGGGGCAUGCCUGUCCGAGCGUCAUUGCUGCCCUCAAGCACGGCUUGUGUGUUGGGCCCCCGUCCCCCUCUCCCGGGGGACGGGCCCGAAAGGCAGCGGCGGCACCGCGUCCGGUCCUCGAGCGUAUGGGGCUUUGUCACCUGCUCUGUAGGCCCGGCCGGCGCCAGCCGACACCCAAC